rnacentral:lncRNA from 1 species
AUGGUAAGUAGAAGCCAGGUGGCCCCUUGGCUGGUCAGGACUGUGAGGAGGGACCGUUCCUGCUGGGGCCAAUGCGUUUUUGGUUUGUUUCCCAGGAUGCAUCCAGUUUGUCAGUCCCCGAGGAGCACUGCUUGGAUCUCCACCAAAACUCACCUUCGACGUAGCUGUGGAGUCAGUCGCACUGGUGCAGAACUGCGUGCAUGCAUUUUGGCGCCAUGGUGUGCAGACACGGCCGCUUGGAUCAGGGCAGGUAGCACAGAAGCUGCAGGAUCAACGGUGGACCUUCCGCCUACUGGGAGCCUCCAGGUUUGAAGACCUGCAACCUCAUCUCUGUACUUCUCCCACCUGUGCAACUCGCUCCACUCCUUUGUGGCCUUCAGAACUUAGCCACUCCUUCCAAUUUCCUUGCGUGGGUCCUGUACUGAAUAAGAGGAACUCCUUUUCUUUGGCUCUUUUGAGACCACCUUCUUCAUCCCGUGGUCUCCAUUCUCCCCAACCUUCUCAGCAAGCACGGCCAAUCCACAACCACCAAACAUCCUCCUCCAGGGUGCCCACCUAAUUCUUGUCUUUUCUCUUCUCCUUCCUCACCAGCACCAUUGUGUUAGAGACGCGACCAGUGAAUAAUCCGAAUUCCACCAGCAAUCUCUAUGUGCCGGAAUGAUGACAGUUCAACCUCAACCUGCAGGUUGCUCAGAUUGACCAUUUCCCACCCUCUGGAACC